UUGAGUUAUUGAAAAGAGUCUGAUUACUUAGUAAGAUCAUGAUGGCAGGAUCAGUACAGCUUCCAUGCAAACGCCUCGUUCUUGUGGCUUUUAUCAUGCUUUGCUUUUUCUUGGUAUCAGCCACAGCACGCAGUUUACGAGUGGCUAGUACUACUAAUGAAUCGCCGACGAGCCAUGAGGAUCAUCAGUCUUCACCAAAAGAAGAUAGGGUGGCCUUGGCAGACACUGAAGAUUUAGUGACUGUGGAUUACACUCCGGCAACAAGGAAGCCUCCGAUACAUAACUAAUAAUUUUAAAAUAUUUAAGCAGUUAAACAAGCUUCGAUUGGUACUUUAGUUACUUAUUAUUCCUCAUUUAGUUUAAGCGCAUAAAUAUAUAUAUUUAUAGAUAUAGUUGAGCCUGGAGAAACAGGGAAACUCAUGCAGAGAUUUAAAAAAAUGGCAUGCAAUAGAUAUGAUGCUAUGGUCUAUUAUGGACCUUUUGUAAACUAGGGUUUCGGAAAGGUUUAUAGCUAGAGAAAAGCUGACUGUUACAUGCCACACAGAUCAUGUACGUGUUAGUACUUUUGUCUAAGCAUAAUCAAUAUAUGGAAUAUGUAUGUGAUUCUA